rnacentral:rRNA from 1 species
GACAGAGGGUGCAAACGUUGUUCGGAAUUAUUGGGCGUAAAGGGCGCGUAGGCGGUGCGGUAAGUCACCUGUGAAAUCUCCUGGCUCAACUGGGAGCUUGCAGGCGAAACUGCCGUGCUGGAGUGUGGGAGAGGUGCGUGGAAUUCCCGGUGUAGCGGUGAAAUGCGUAGAUAUCAGGAGGAACACCGGUGGCGAAGGCGGGUCUCUGGGCCGAUACUGACGCUGAGGAGCGAAAGCGUGGGGAGCGAACAGG